rnacentral:rRNA from 1 species
UCAAUCUCGUGUGGCUAAGCGCCACUUGUCCCUCUAAGAAGUUUGGCGGGGACUCCGAAGGAUCCCCGAACUAUUUAGCAGGCUAGAGUCUCGUUCGUUAU